GCGGGCCCCUGGGCCCGGACCAGGGAGCAGGCAGCCGUUGCCGGCGGGGCUGCAUGGACGCAGGAAAGUUGGCUCGGCACCCGACAGACACGGGCUCGGAGCGGGCAGUGCCGGCGCUCGCGGAAAUAAGGCCGUGGUGGGCCCCUCCCCUCCGCCCCCAGGGCGAAGAUAAUUGUGAAACACCUGUGCCAGGCCCUGGGGGAAUGAGGGUGAACAAUCUUAAACAUCUCUGCCUUCCUGGAGCACACCUUCUAGGUUGCACAGUGGCUCAGAGAGUAGACUUGGAGCCAGGCUGCCCGGUUUUAUAGCCCUGCUUGACCUGUGUGAUCCGAGAAUAAUCUUGUUUAAUCUCCACAAGUUUGAGGACUAAACUGGGUGCCACAGAGAAUUAAGUAACUGGUCGAGGUUGUAUCAGUAAGAAGGGAGCACGGAACAGAUUCAAGCUCAGGCUGGAGUGCAAUGGUGUGAUCUCACCUCACUGUAAUCUCCAUUCCCCCGGGUUCAAAAGAUUUUCCUGCCUCUACUUGCCAAGAAGCUGGGAUUCCAGGCAUGCACCACGAUGCCUAGCUAAUUUUUGUACUUUUAGUAGAAAUGGGUUCUUGCCAUGUUGACCAGGCUGGUCUUGAACUCCUGACCUCCAGUGAUCUGCUUGCCUUGGCCUCCCAAAGUGCUGGGAUUACAGGUAUGAGCCACUGCACCCAACCAAAUGUUACUUAUUGACCCUCAGCUAAAUAUUAUGGCAGGGACAAAUGAACAAGAGAGUGGUUAGGCAAGUAGGCCUCUUUCUCCAAGCAUGAGAAUAAAAGAAAACAGCAACAACCCAACAACAAACACCAACAAAUUAAAACUUUAUUAUUAAGGAUAGUGUCUGAAAAAUGGAUUUGCUUCACUAUCCUUAUUGACAAAGUCUAUGUUGUGGCUUGAGAUAUUGAUAUUGCUGUAUGGAAUACCUCAAUUAAGAAAUGUAUAAUAUUGUUUAUUUCAUUUAAGACUGUCAUCUUUUAUAAUUUUCACAUGUGUGUGAAUGGGUGUGUAUGUCUGCAUGCCUGAUCAUUACUAUAAGAUACUGGUACUGUGGUAGAUGUAUACCUUUUGAAACUAAAUAAAUAUACAUGUUUUAGA
rnacentral:lncRNA from 1 species